rnacentral:misc_RNA from 1 species
GUGCGAUAAGUAGUGUGAAUUGCAGAAUUCCGUGAAUCAUCGAAUUUUUGAACGCAAAUUGCGCUUCCUGGCAUCCCGGGAAGUAUGCCUGUUUGAGGGUCAGUAUUAAUAAAAAAUCGGUUUGGUUGCAAAUUUUGUGACGUUUACCGGAGUUUGGGUUAUCUUAACUUUUUUGGUUAAGAGGCUUAAAAUUGACCUUUUUUGCGCAUUUUUAGACGUACAUAAAUUUUUUUUAUUCGUCUAUUCUUAAUGCCAAAAUCUUAUUAGAUGCGAUCACAUCGUGUGGUUUCGUGUCCAUAAAAUUUUCAUGAUUUGACCUCAAAUCAGGUAGGAGUACCCGCUGAACUUAA